UGAAGGGAAAUAAUGAGAUUUAUAUGGGAUUUCUAGUGACUAGCAUGCAUAUACAAUUCAAAAUCUAUAUACAUUAGCAACGGAAGCAUUUUAGCACAUAAUAUCAAAGCUAUAGUCAUGCAAAUCCCCUUCAAGAAGCAUAGGUUUAUGUGAGAUGCAUCAAAACAUUUUAUUGAAGAACAAAGUGAAGGUGUAGUUUUAUACCUCUUGAUCUUGACUUGAGACCAAGGAUUGACCACCUCCAAGCUCUUUGUUCUUGGAACUCCUUGAGCCUAGCCUCCCUCCUUGCUUCCUCCACCUUGCUAGAAUGAGUGCUCCUUGGUUCUCCUUUAGUCUCCAAGGUUGAAGACCUCUAAAGAUCCACACCCACUAGUGUAGUGAGAUGGAUGGAGGAAUGACCAAAAGGAGAAAAGAUGAUUAGCUAAAAUCUCCUCUUGGUGGCCGGCCUUGUGAUUUGAGAGAGAGAUUGUGUUUUCUCUAUUUUGGUGAAAGUAAACUCACAAAAACCCUAAUGAAACUUUUCACUAAAAGUUGCUUUUAUAUCUCAAAGAAAGUUAGCCAACAACUUGACUCCCUCUCUCUCCCUUUCCCUUUAUUUGGCCGGCCCCCUUUGUGUUGUUUGGGCUUUUGGGCUUUUAUCAUUUCAAGUCAUCCUAUGCUUGAAUAAAAGGACCCAAUGGGCCCAAAUGAACCCAAACUUUUCUUUAAGCCCAAAACGAUCUUUUAUCGCUUUUAUGAUUUCUUUAGACUUUGUACAAUCAUUUUAAGUUCUAAUUAGCAAGGCAGUGAGGUGAUUGGCACCAAUCCAAUUGAUUAUAUUUAAUCCAAUCACUUAGUGAAUUAAAACUUACUUUUAAUUCUCCUUCUUCUUUGACGACUACUUAUUUAAUCAUCUAGAAGAACUCAAAAGCCAUGAGUGACAUCUAACCAUAUAUCAUGGCUACCCAAGCUAAUGUAGAAUUUGUUCGGAGAACCUAUUCAGUUGGAAUUACAAUGUAAUUCGAUCCUUCUUUAAAACAAUACUCUCAAUCACAUUAUUAGGGUUUGGAUAUAUUAUGUCAAACCCUAAUGUGAUUAUUACAUGUUAUAUGAUUCAAUUGAGUCGUAUAGGAACGCUUUCCUUUAUUACGCAAGAUACUUCGGCCGAAGAUUCCCGAAUCAUAUCUUAGAGUAUUCAUCCUCUCAUAACGAGGAUUAGAGAUCCCUUGUUGAUCAUUCACAUGCCUCUGCGAAUAAAUCACUGACCCAAACAAUGCAUAGAACACACCCAAGAUGAGGUGUGGUCACGUCUCAUUAUCAAAAUGAUCAGCAACAUAUCCCCAAGACAACUAUGAUGUCUCAGGUCAAAGGAUUACUUACAUUAUUCCAACCAUUAGAGUUACUUGCUUGACACGUGAGUAGACCUCCAUGCAAGUACUCUCGUUCGAUUGUGUUCAAUGAACUCAUUCCCUUAAUGAGCACCUACAUACCUGUCUUAGUGUCACUACACGAAUGGGAUAAGACUUUCCAUCCUUCCAAUUGAAGGGGACAUAGUAUGUACUGGUCUAUGCAUUGUCAGUAUCCCUCUGACAAUCCUAUGACCAGGAACCUUUUGGACAUGAUGGUUAUGUGAAGAAGGUCUCUGUAGUCUAACAUC
rnacentral:lncRNA from 1 species